ensembl:lincRNA
CAAAACACUCUGCGUGGCUGAAUUCUAAAAUGAAAAAUACUACUCAAGGGGGUAUCUUUCACUAAAGAAAUAAGAAGUGCUUAUCAACUGGUUUUAAGAGUCCUCCACUUUGUGUUAACAUCCGUGACAGUGGAAAGGGCAGAAGAAACUCAGAUGCCACAGGACACACUUGAGUGCCUGUACUGCUGCAAGCACAGGAGACCAGCAGCCACGGGUGGGGGUCCGGAAUGUCACUGGUACCUCCAGUGACAGGACUAGAAUCUGACUUGGAUUGUGGCACCUCUGAAAAAAACAGGAAAGAGCAUGCUCUGCGAUUACCAAUCUGCCCGGGUCCCCAAGUCCUGUGUGUGCCUUCUCAUGUGAUCAUGAAGAAUUCUGAGCGACACACUCACCAAGAAGGGAUGCAUUUGGAAUUAUUUUAUAAACAAAAUUUCAGACAGAAAAAGAAGCAACAUGAAUUUCUGCCUUGAAAUUGUACGAGUAGAUAAUAAAAAAAUGAGCCAAAAUAGUCACUUCCAGCCUUCUUC